UUCGAGGCCUUAUCAUAUUGGAUUUUCAAAGAAAGAAAACACUGGACCUAUCGAAAGUUUAUUUCUGCAGAUUCCGCCGAAUAGUUUAUUUGUUUUGAGGGCCAUUAUUAUAUAUAAACUCUCAAAAUGUUUCAUCCGGCAAUACUUUGUCUACAUGUCUACAUGGACGAUUGAACACGGAUAUAGUUGAUAUAUACUUACUUUAGUGAGGUCGUUUUACGACUUUCCCAACACUUUGGACUUUUUUGUAAGAAGUGUUUGAACAAAAAGUAGCGAAUAAUUUCGUAAAAAAAAAAAAAAAAAUGGGGCGGAUUGUAGAAAUGUACAGUGCACAUCGGUUUUUUACCGAAAUUGAUUUCGGUUAUUUAAAAAUUAUGCUGUGCCGAGUUUG